UACGUAGGUGGCAAGCGUUGUCCGGAAUUAUUGGGCGUAAAGCGCGCGCAGGCGGUCCUUUAAGUCUGAUGUGAAAUCCCACGGCUCAACCGUGGAAGGUCAUUGGAAACUGGGGGACUUGAGUACAGAAGAGGAAAGCGGAAUUCCAAGUGUAGCGGUGAAAUGCGUAGAGAUUUGGAGGAACACCAGUGGCGAAGGCGGCUUUCUGGUCUGUAACUGACGCUGAGACGCGAAAGCGUGGGGAGCAAACAGG
rnacentral:rRNA from 1 species